GAUGAAGAACGUAGCGAAAUGCGAUACUUGGUGUGAAUUGCAGAAUCCCGUGAACCAUCGAGUCUUUGAACGCAAGUUGCGCCCGAAGCCAUCAGGUUGAGGGCACGUCUGCCUGGGCGUCACAUAUCGUUGCCCAAUGCCUAUUGCAGUGCAAUAGGAAUUCCUAGGGCGAAUGAUGGCUUCCCGUGAGCGUUGUUGCCUCGCGGUUGGUUGAAAAUCGAGUCCUUGGUAGGGUGUGCCAUGGUAGAUGGUGGUCGAGUUAGAACGAUACCGAUCAUGUGCAUGCUCCCCAAAAUAUGGCCUCUAUGACCCACACGCGUCUUUUGACGCUCAUGACGAGACCUCAGGUCAGGCGGGGCUACCCGCUGAAUUUAAGCAUAUCAAUAAGCGGAGGA
rnacentral:misc_RNA from 1 species